CCUUUUUCUUUUUCUUUUUUUUUAAAGAUAAUGUCUUGCUCUGUCACCUAGGCUGGAGUGCAGUGGCAUGAUCAUGGCUCACUGCAGCCUCGAACUCUGGGCACAAGAGAGCCUCCUGAGUAGCUAGGACUACAGGAGUGCACCACCAUACCUGGCUAAUUUUUUUUUUGUAUAGAUGGGAUCUUGCUAUGUUGCCCAGGCUGAUCUCAAAUUCCUGGGCUGAAAGGAUCCCUCUGCCUUGGCCUGGCAAAGCGCUGGGAUUACAGGCAUGAACCACUGUGCCCAGAUGACCCCAUCUUUCAAUAGGAGGAACUUUUUAGGGCUGUGUUCUCAUGCCACCACAACCCAGGGGGCCAGAUUAGCUGAGGACGUGUCCUCUAAGCCCUUCUGUGUCCCUUCUGUUUUCAGUUUCUCUUCUCUAUGAGUAUCUCUGUCUCCUUUCCUUGGAGGUGACAGAGGGCACCCAUGUGCCCAGGCUCACCCAGGCAGUGGGUGACACCAGUGGGUGACAAUGUGGAUGGCCCGCCAUGCCAGACACUCACUCCAAUGCCCAUUUUACAGAUGAGAAGACUGAGUACUGAGUGGCCAGGUAGACUGAGCAGGAUCGCAGAGGGAGGAUUUGUUCCUGGGCCAAUCCCCUUGUUUCCCAUCCAUGUUCCCUAUCCUUGGCAACUUGGGGGGGGUUAGGAAUCAAAUACAUGAAUUUGGGGGGGACUUUCUUCAAUCUACAACAGAGGAGGAUCUGCGGGAAUGGGGCCAGGUGAGGAAGGCAGGGGCAGGGGCAGGUGGGGGACAACCGGACCCCUCCAGCAGAUGGAACCAAGUGAACAGGUCUUUCUGGCAGGAGCAGCUCUAGAAGAUUCUUGUUUUGUUUUUUUGGAAUGGAGUCUCGCUCUGUUGCCCAGGCUGUAGUGCAAUGGCAUGAUCUUGCCUCACUGCAGCCUCCGCCUCUCGAGUUCAAGCAAUUCUCCUGCCUCAGCCUCCUGAGUAGCUGGGACUACAGGCACCCGCCACCAAGCCCAGCUAAUUCUUGUAUUUUUAGUAGAGACGUGGGUUUCAUCAUGUUGGCCAGGCUGGUCUCAAACUCCCGACCUCAGGUGAUCCGCCCGCCUCGGCCUCCCAAAAUGCUGGGAUUACAGGUGUGAGCCACUGCGCCUGGCUUAGAAGGUUCUUUAGAGAGUCUCCAUGGCCAUAGAAGCUGGUGUGUGAGUGCCUGUGUGUGUGUGAGUGCCUGUGUGUGUGCCUGUGUGUGUGUGCCUGUAUGUGUGUGUGCCUGUAUGUGUGUGUGCAUCUGUGUGUGUGCCUGUAUGUGUGUGUGCCUCUGUGUGUGUGUGUGUGUGUGUGUAUGAUAGGAUUCCUACCUCGUGCUCCUCUCUGGGGUGAAGGCAGACCAAUACAUGAAGAGAGAGUGGAGGGCAGCCGGGAGGGGGCCUGUCAGGCUUGAUCUUUGUGGGUUUGUUUUUGACUUGACGCUGGCUCUAGAAAUGGAUUGACAUUGGGGUGGGCGUGGGAUGGAGGCUGAUAGGAGAGGGAAGCUUUCAAAGCUGUAGCCAUGGGAAAUGUUUUUAUUUUCUGCUUGAAAGAAAAUGCCAAAGAAGGAUAAAAAGGAAAAAAAGGUGGGGGGAGGUGACUCGCUCUUCAGCAGGCGCCCCCGGGAGCUGAUUUAUUGGCGGUUUAUUUGGAGAAACGCUAUCGCUCUUAGAUUCUGGAGGGGGGAAAAAACACGCUCGCGGUGGACUUUAACCUUGGGCUGAAACCACAGCGCUUUGUUUUCGGAGGUGCUUCCUGGGGCGCCGCGGCAGGGCUGGGGCCUAGCGGGGGAAGCUGGGCCGGAAUGUGGCCCAGCAGCCUCUCCACUCCCAGGCUGCGCUUCUGCCUGCCCGGGCAAGCGCUCAAAUUCCUCUGGGCCCGGCCGGAAGCCCUCGGUCCCUCCAAAAGUGCUUCUAGAAAUUCUAGGAAGGAGCCGAAGCUCCUUGGCUGAGGGCGUCCUUGGAGCGAGGUUUCCAAACCCUCCCAUCCCAAGCCCCCGGCAUGUGCCACCCGCCGUUUGCAGUCGUGUCACUGGCAUGGUGAGGUUUUCGGGAGGCAUCCAUGAAGGGCUGAAUGCUCCGGUUUCCGUGCACCUUAAGUCUGGAGCAAAACCCCGCUGGAGGUGGUUGGCUCCAAUCGCGCCCAUGGUUUGCUUGAUUCCCGCUUUCCCCAUUGCUGAGCCAAAGCUCGCACCAAGGAGGGCUCCAAGCCGGGACCCCGGUUGGAGAAAAUCCUGGGGCAUCCAGCGGCACGGAGGGUGGGAACCAGAUGAGCCUCCGCCUCCGCGCACGGUGCCCACAGUCACACCCCCCGUUGGUCCACCUGUGCCAAAAAAAAAAAAAAAAAAAAAAAAAAAGGCCCUUCAUGCGCCCGCAGAGGGCUCUGAGGAGGCACGAGAUGAAGGCAGGGUCCGCGGAGAGGUGGCAAGCUGAAUUCUGAGAAGCCGCUCUGACCCUGACCCUGGGGUCACCCCUCCGUGGUGCAGGUGGCACCGGAGUUGGGCUCGAGCGGAGAGCCGCAUGCCCAUCCCAGUCUCACCGAGCCUUCCUAGGAGGAAAUGCCAGGCCCGGGCGCCCCUACCCCAAGGCGGUGAUCCUGUGAAGCUCGGGCCACCUCAGGGUCCAGCGCCCUCAGAGAUGGAUGGUGUUGACACCGAGGAACGAGGCCGUUCCCUCUCUUUGGUGAACGGAGAAGCUCCUGGCGUGGUUCCCUGCGCAGUCUCCGGGUCCCCAGGCCGUGAUGGGGUGAGCAGGGUGCGCGGCGUGGCCCGGGACACGAGACCGGCCCGGAGCACCCCGGCGUGAGCAGCGGGAAGGAGGGCCCGCCCGGAGAUUUAUGGCCGCAGCCGGCCCCCUGUGCACUGAGCGCGUCUCGGUCCUUUCCCAGCCAAACAGUGGAGUGGAGGACC
rnacentral:lncRNA from 1 species